ensembl:lncRNA
AUGGGCGGGAGCAAGAGCAGGGGCGGCCCUGGAGACCCUCUGACCCUGAAGGGAUGGAGACCCCCGACCUCAGCCCCGCCUCUGGUUCCGUGUCACUGUUGGGGACAGAGCUCUUGUGAGCUUAGAGUCUGUCCCUGGUUCUCCAUCCUUUCUGGAAGGAGUCUGUCCAUUCCCAGAGAGAGGCGUGUCUCCAGAAUCUGUGCGGCCGCGGAUCUGAGCUCUGAGCCAUCACGAGGGCCGCCGCCGGGAGGAGCGCCGAGGCGGAGAGCGGGGUGCGCGGCUCCGGAGCCCUGGAGGACACGUGAAGGCGCGCGGGGAGCCGGACCCCGGCUGGUCUGCGGGAGGGGUCCGGCUCCUUGCCGCGGAAGCCGCGCAGGGAGUGAGGAGGCCGCGGAGGGCGACGGAGAGCUGACCGACCCCUGGGUGGGAGACGGCGGCUUCCUCAUAGGACCCGGGCUCCUUCUGUCCACUAGUACCUGGUGGCGCCGAGGAGGCCUGCGGCCCCGGGGAUGCUGUCGCGGGAGGGAGGCGGUCAGAAAACCGGGAUCUGCGGGCCCUGUGCUGGAAACGGGGCGCGCCGGGCCACGAAGCCCCAGAGGAGAUUCGCGGACUUUUGUGGCCGCGACCUCACCUCCGGCUCCGCGGGCAAGGACGCCGCGGGCCCCGUGCGCGGAGCGAGGCCGCGGGGGACUUCUGUGUCCAGGGCGACCUGAGAGGAGGAUCCCCGGGGCUACAGGACCUCCCAGGCCAGGCGCAGCCGGCCGUGGACAGGGAAGCUCCGGAGCUCCUGUGUGUGCUCAGUUUCUCCUCCUCCUGGGGACCCCGAGGACGACUGAAACCCGCCAGGCUCCUCUGUCCGUGGAAUCUUCCACGCAAGAAUUCCGGAGGGGACUGCCGUCUCCUCCUCCAGUGGAUUGUCCCUGGUCAAGCAUCUACCCCGCGUCCUACCGGCGUGUCUUCUGUGUCUCGCUUUGGCAGGCAGAGUCUUUAACUCUUGAGCCUCCUGAGAAGCCCUAG